UACGGGGGGGGGCAAGCGUUGUUCGGAAUUACUGGGCGUAAAGGGCUCGUAGGCGGCCAACUAAGUCAGACGUGAAAUCCCUCGGCUUAACCGGGGAACUGCAUCUGAUACUGGAUGGCUUGAGUUCGGGAGAGGGAUGCGGAAUUCCAGGUGUAGCGGUGAAAUGCGUAGAUAUCUGGAGGAACACCGGUGGCGAAGGCGGCAUCCUGGACCGACACUGACGCUGAGGAGCGAAAAGCGUGGGGAGCGAACAGG
rnacentral:rRNA from 1 species